rnacentral:rRNA from 1 species
UAGUCUGGGAAACUGCCUGAUGGAGGGGGAUAACUACUGGAAACGGUAGCUAAUACCGCAUAAUGUCGCAAGCCAAAGUGGGGGACCUUCGGGCCUCAUGCCAUCAGAUGUGCCCAGAUGGGAUUAGCUAGUAGGUGGGGUAAUGGCUCACCUAGGCGACGAUCCCUAGCUGGUCUGAGAGGAUGACCAGCCACACUGGAACUGAGACACGGUCCAG